rnacentral:tRNA from 1 species
UGCGGCUGGAUCCCCUCCUCUUCUAAGGACAAAAGGCACGGCCGGACUCACUAUUUAGUUUUGAGGGAACAGAGAGAGACAGGGGCCUAUAGCUCAGAUGCGGUUAGAGCGCACGCCUGAUAAGCGUGAGGUCGGAAGUUCAACUCUUCCUAGGCCCACCAUCAGGAAGGGUUGAUGGGAAGGAAUGGGGGUGUAGCUCAGCUGGGAGAGCGCCUGCCUUGCACGCAGGAGGUCAUCGGUUCGAUCCCGUUCACCUCCACCAGAUUCAGGAUUAGGACGUUGUGUUGCCGACAUAAGGUUCAAGUUCUGAAGAGGGACUUGCAGAUCUUUGACAACCGAAUAGGGGUAGUAGAAGUUUAG